rnacentral:rRNA from 1 species
UGAAAAUUUUAAACGGCCGCGUUAGCGUGAGCGUGCUAAGGUAGCGUAAUAAUUAGCCUUUUAAUUGGAGGCCAGUGAAUGGCAAAACUAGGAACACCUGUACUUUGUAUAUGAGAAAAAUUUUUCGUCUAAGUGAAAAGACUUAGAUAAAAAAGGAAGACGAAAAGACCCCGCGGAACUUUACCUUUUCUUGUACCCCUGUCUACGCACUUAAAGGUCUAUAAGGUUUGAUUGGGGCAAUCUUGGAACCAACAAAGCUUCCAACUACCUAUAAAAAGUAUAAGAAAUUUUUUAAGGACCAAAAAGUAGUUACCCCGGGGAUAACAGCGUAAUCUAACUCAAGAGUACAUAUCGAAAGUUAGGUUUGCGACCUCGAUGUUGGCUUAAGGAUAUCCACAUUAGUGCAACCGCUAUGGCAGGACAGUCUGUUCGACUACUAUUCCCUUACAUGAUCU